AUUUGGGGCUUGAUGCUGCCAUGGAGAGUCAAGGGCAAUACGGCAUUUGGGACCAUGCAUACUCUUCAGCAAUCUCGAUUGCUACAAUUAAGGAGGGAGAAGAGAAAGGGAAAGAUUGAGCUCUAUUAGAGCAUUGUGACCUCAAGUCUGAGAGCAGUUGAAGCUACUUGGGGAAUUUUCGAGCAUUUAACUUCAUACUAGCAUUAUAGAAGGAGCCGACACAAUAGAUCCAUCACUAGGAGGAGCUAUCACUAGGAGGAUUAUCAAUGGUGGUGAUCCCAUACAAACCUUGUAGUAGUCAAGACAUCGAGACUGUGGCACAAUUCGACCGUGUAGGCACUCCAGUGAUCCCAAGGGGAAUGAUCCAUUGCUUAUAGUAGAUGUAAGUAGCGAUAUAUCAUUGUUGGGAGAGUCAUGGACCUCGCUUCAUGAUUCGGAUGGGGAACACUACUUGCAUGACCCUACCAAUGAAGUGACGACACUUUCACCAAAAGGCUCAUCGGUGGAGAAGGAGGAUGGGCAAGUGAAAUCCUUCCCCACCGGGAGGUAUGUCUAGCAACAGAAAUCUACUUAUUUAAUGCUUCAAAUACCCUCUUUACUUUAGUCUUCUUUCUAAAAGGGAAGAGUGUUAGGUCUCAUAUUUAUGAGCCUAUUGUCUAAUCUAGUUUUGAUGAUUAACAAACAAUUCCUAAUGGUAUUUUCUAGUAUUCGUGUUUUCCUACAAUAUGUAUCUAGGUUGGAGGUUGGAAGGAUUUGUGCCUUAACGACGAUAUUUUAGAGGUUGGUGGAAAUUAGAAUGAAGCCGUCACAAUUCAAGUCAAACAUACGAGUUUGUACUUCAUCCCUUUUAUCAAGCUGGAGGACCAUCUAAGAUCAAGCUUCAUACAUAAUAUUUAUCUUGGAUAUAAUAUUUUAGUUUUUAUACUUUAUGUGUUUAUACUUAGAGCUCAAUUCAUACACGUACACGUUUAAUUCGACUU